UGGAUGGAGGGUUUGAUCCUGGCUCAGGACGAACGCUGGCGGCGUGCCUAAGGCAUGCAAGUCGAGCGGUAGCUUCUGUAAGUGAGAGCUUACAGGAGUGAGAGCGGCGCACGGGUGAGUAACACGUAGGUAACCUACCCCAGAGAGGGAGAUAACACUUCGAAAGGGGUGCUAAACUCCCAUAUACUUACCGAGCGAAGGGCUCAGGUAAGGAAAGAGUAUAGGGAGGCAACUUUCUAUACUGCUCUGGGAUGGGCCUGCGGCCUAUCAGCUAGUUGGUGAGGUAAGAGCUCACCAAGGCGAAGACGGGUAGCUGGCCUGAGAGGGUGGUCAGCCACACUGGGACUGAGACACGGCCCAGACUCCUACGGGAGGCAGCAGCCGGGAAUCUUCCGCAAUGGGGGAAACCCUGACGGAGCGACGCCGCGUGAGGGAAGAAGCCCUUCGGGGUGUAAACCUCUUUUCUCGGGGAAG
rnacentral:rRNA from 1 species